CACGCUGUAAACGAUGAGUGCUAGAUAUCCGAAACUAGAUUUUGGGUGUCGAAGCUAACGCGUUAAGCACUCCGCCUGAGGAGUACGGUCGCAAGAUUAAAACUCAAAGGAAUUGACGGGGACCCGCACAAGCGGUGGAACAUGUGGUUUAAUUCGAAGCUACGCGAAAAACCUUACCAGGCUUUGACAUACUAGUCACACUUUACAGAAAUGUAUCGGUCGGUUCGGCCGGUCUAGUACAGGUGU
rnacentral:rRNA from 1 species